UCUUUUUUCUUUUGCCCAUACGUUUGGAGCCAAAGGCAAAACCAAAGAGAAUACAUUCUCAGCUAUGAUCAAGCAGAAUUUGAAAUCCUACAGCUGGGCAGUGCCCCGUCUUCUGAUUUCUAUCUGUUUGGCUGUUUAUGCUGGCGUUGGAAAUGCAGCCAAGGAGAACAGAGUUAUCUCAACCCAUUUACCUGCCGCUUCCCCCACGGCAGUGUUUCACACAUAUGGAAUGAGUCUUGUGUCUCCAUCUGUGUCUCAGAGCCCAAGCAGAGAGAAAGCCAAAGAGGGUGAAACGGUGACCCUUGGAUGCCGGUUCCGAAGUUCCCAUGGCUCAUCUUUGAAUAACCUAACAGUGAAAUGGUACAAGGAGGAUGAAAAUGGGUCGAGGGACCUAAUGGAGAACAACAUCACUGUAUUGGCAAACUACACCAGAGCAUUCCUGAUAGGGGAUUUAUCUGAAGGCAAUGCAUCUUUGACUAUCUUAAAUGUGACAACCAGCGAUCACGGCACUUAUUUCUGCCAGGUGAUGCUUUCCAGUGGAGAUGUGGUGACAGGAGGUGGCACAAAGCUCAGGAUCCGCAGGGCGCUGGGAUUGUUUGGCAUAGAAGAAUCCAUUGGAACAAUCAUUGGCGUGGUGGCAGCUGGCAUUGGAGGCAUGUUAGUUCUAAUAGUAGUUUUAACUCCUCAGCUGAGGAAGUGCCUUCCAUGUGCUAAAGCAACAUCGAACCAAGCAUAACUUGGACAGCAUGGCUAAAGUAAUUGCCAGGUGUGCCACCGACGAUAUAGUUUUCUGAAUGUUUUCCAUCUCGAUCUUUUGCUGUCCUUCCUCUUCCCCUCCCCCUCUUGUAUCCCCUUUUGGGUUUCUCCCUUCUUACUCUAACUUUAUGAAUGGUGUGUUGGUUAAAUGAGCCACGUUGAAGGGUCAGUGCCUAGAGCAAAAUCCAGACUGGCCUCGCCUCUCUCAGAAUAGCUCUACUGCAUAAUGGAAAUAAAAUCUGUCAUCACAACCUUGUGCAUUUCAGUUUCAUCUCAAUUUUAGCUUCCUUUAUUGCCCAGAAUUCUUAUGCUCAACUCAUA